CAGACACGCACGCCAUUCUAGGCAGCAGUCGCCUGGCAACAUGGCUCAGCCUCUGAACAUAUUUCCCAGUUCGGGGUGCCUGGGCUCAGCCUUAAAGAUACGGUAAGGAUGUCGGACAUCUGGAGAAAGCUUGGAGGAGAUGAACUGCUCCUCUGUGUCAGAAAGAGCCAGUUGAGGUGGUUUGGGCAUCUGGUUUGGAUUUCUCUGGGCACCUCCCACUAGAGGCUUUCUCAGCAUCCCCUAAUGGGAGGACACCCGAUGGUAGACCCAGAACUUGGCGGACGGAUUACAUACCUCAUAUGGCUGGGAAUGCUCUGAGAUCCCCCAGGACGAACUAGGAAGUGUUACGGAGUAAAAGGACAUCUUUCUACUUAGCCUGCUGCCACUGCAACCCGACUUCAGAGGCUGAACAGAUGUUUAGUCCAACAGAGAUCUGAGCUACAUCUUUUCCUCGACACAGAGGAGAGGAGGAGGAGAAAAAAGUUGGAAGAAAGCAGAGAAUCCCCAUCAGACUCCAUGUAAGCUGUUCUAAAUACUCUGUAAACAGAAACUACUCACACCCACUACUGGCCAUCUAAAACACAGCAUGCCAUUAUAGGUAACUUUUUUCCUUCUGAGAGGAUAUAUAUAAAAUAUCUUUGCCAGUGUGCAGUCAUGAGAUAUGUUUCUGAAGUAGCUUUUGUGAAAUCCUUCAUUAUAAUCAACCAGCACAAUCUCUCCCCACCGUUUCUGGUUUAUAGCGUGCGUCAUGUUG